rnacentral:ncRNA from 1 species
ACAACUGAUAGAUUGAUGUUGGGAAUGAGGCCGCCAUGUCGAGCCAAAACCAACAGCCUGAUACUCCUACAUGCCCUGUAAGAUGAUAGUCCAAAGGGUAUGAAGCUAGGUAAAGUCGGCAGAACCGCUCCUAAGUCAUUUUAAUGGAGCGGGUAUCCCGCUCCAGGUAAACGAUAUGGUUCGGGAUAUGCCGGGGCGCUAUAAA